rnacentral:ncRNA from 1 species
GGAGGAACCUCUGGAGAGAACCGUUAAAUCGGUCGCCGAAGGAGCAAGCUAAAACGCGUUCGUUUUAGUGAAACUCUCAGGCAAAAGGACAGAGGAGUGGAA